GGAAUAUUGGGCAAUGGUCGAGAGACUGACCCAGCCAUGCCGCGUGAAGGAAGAAGGCUUUCUGAGUUGUAAACUUCUUUUAUCUGGGAAUAAAAUACCCUUGCGAGGGGAACUGAAGGUACCAGAUGAAUAAGCACCGGCUAACUCCGUUCCAGCAGCCGCGGUAAUACGGAGGGUGCAAGCGUUGUCCGGAUUUAUUGGGUUUAAAGGGUGCGUAGGUGGCUCAUUAAGUCAGUGUUUAAAGUCAACAGCUCAACUGUUGGAAUGGCAUUGAUACUGAUGAGCUUGAGUAAAGUUGAGGUAGACAGAAUUGAUGGUGUAGCGGUGAAAUGCAUAGAUAUCAUCAAGAAUACCGAUUGCGAAGGCAGUUUACUAAGCUUUAACUGACACUGAGGCACGAAAGUGUGGGGAUCAA
rnacentral:rRNA from 1 species